rnacentral:lncRNA from 1 species
UUACAUAGGCAAACAAGACAAUUAAUCACAAGCUGUGACAAGACGACUGGUCAUAAGCUGUGACAAGAUGAUCGGUCAUAAGUUGUUGUGGGUGCAUAGGCAUGCGAGCAAGUUAUCGCGCACGCACAGGCAUGCGUGCUCUAUCACAUCACAGACAUGACAACCUUGCAUGCGCAGCUAGCAUAUAGGCAAAUUUACCGAUUAAUAUUUAGAAUUUAGAAUUUC